GUUCCUCCAGGAGCGGGGCCACGGCCAGGCUGGGGAAAGGCUGUGAGUGUUUGGGAGUUUCCGAGAACUCGGGCCACACAACCAGUUGCCUACUUACCUCCAAAUAGAUCCCCCUUCAUCUUGUUUGUGAAUACUGGCGCCACAGGGUCCCAGAGGCACUAACUCCCACGAAAAGAACCUUGACCUUCCUUUGCCACUGAGGCACAGCUCAUGGUCUUAAUGCGCUUUGCUGAGCGUUAAUGAGAUGCUUUGUUAGCUCAGGCACAGCAGGUAGCCCAAGGUCUAUGAGGAUGUGCAGACAUUUAGCGUGCCAAGGUGGCAGCGCAUGGCACAGAGGAGGGGCUAAGGGCAUGAGGAGAGUGAGAGGAGAGGGACCCUUACCCCCUGCCAAGGUUCCCUGAGCCCCCGCUUCUCUCUCCUUCCUCUUGGAGACCAAGAGGUAUCAAUGUGUGCUUGUGUGUAUGGAGCGCCUGCCUUGCCUGGACAAGAAUCUGUGCAUUCUCGGGAAUCUUUAGAGCACUGGUCAGAGGGAAUGCUUUUGCCCUAUUUCACUGCUAAGCAACUGAAGCCCAGAGACAUGAGCUGUGCCCAGGUCCACCCCACCAGCUGACAAGGGGCCUUGAGGAAGGGCAAGGCUGUGCCGACUCCCAUGUCCACCCAAGGAAGCUGGACUUUACCCUGGAGGGAAUGGAAAUUACAAUGAAAGGUUUUUAACAACAGAAGACCAUUUUACGUUUAUCCAUUCGGUAAGGAUCUACAAGGUUGAUAGCACGCUGCUGGCCGGGCUAAGGGGACACGGGCUGCCACGCGUUGCUGGUGGGCAUGUAACAGAUUCCACUGGAGUGGAGGGUAAUUUGGCAGUCACUAUCAAAAUUACAAUCUCACAGUUCUUUUGAUUGAGCAAUCCUGCUUCUGAGAGUCUAUCCUGCAGCUAAACUUCCUACGCUGGCCAAGUGCAGAAGUUAUUCACUAGAGGCUUGUCCAGUGCAGCAAAGGGCUGUGAGCCCCCCACAUCCAUUGGCACGGGCGGUGGAACGUUCUGUAGCCGUAUUAAGAACAAGGAAGCAUUCUAUGUAACAACAUGAAAAAAAAUUGCCAAGAGAUAUUACUACAGAAAUGUAUUAUCUAGAUGAUAUUUUGUAAGCAGGGG
rnacentral:lncRNA from 10 species